AAACCAAUCCAGUUCUAAAAUAUGUAUUAAUUCACUUGUAUUAAACAUGCCAACUGCCAUAAAUUUAGUUGUAUUUUUAGUACUGAUUGUUAAAAAGCCAGA